rnacentral:rRNA from 1 species
AUGGCAGGGGUACUGGAUGGCGAGGCAGGGAGUGCUCUGUCCCCGGAGCCGCUUCUCCUUUGUGCCCCGUCGCAGGCCGCAGUCGCUAGUGAGCAUGGUCAUGCCGCUUCUGUGAUGGAGGCCGCCGUUGUCGUCGGCGGCACCAGCAAGCUGACCAUCAAGGACGCGGCCGCGGCUGCUCACGCUGAGACGCCGUGCUUGCCAGGCUCGCCGUCGCGGCUCUACCUCUCGCAGGCGCAGCUUGACAUGCCGCCGUCCAUCAGCUCGUGCAACCCCGAAAUGGGCACGGCUCCGGUGCUGCCGAGCGAGUCAAAGCUCGAAGAUCACAUCCCCGGCGAGCCGCGGCUGAUGAAGAAGACCCAGCACCACUCAUGGCGAUCCCUGGUAGGCGGCGGCGAGGCACCAGCGCUGCUGCCGAGCGACAGCACGCGGGAGCUGGACCGCCGGUUUGACAACUUCAAGACCUUCUCGGGCCGCCUCCGCGGUCUGCAGCAUGGGCUGCCGCCAGUUGACAUCGAGCAUGGUGCCGCGCCCAAUAUCUCGAGCGAGGACACCGACGAGGAAAACAUAGUCCCGUCAGCCGAUCGCUACUUCGCCGCCCUCGAAGGCCCCGAGCUCGAGACCCUUCGGUCGACGGAGGUGGCAGUGCUGCCUGAGGAUGAGCAAUGGCCGUUCCUUCUCCGGUUCCCGAUUAGCGCGUUCGGGAUGUGCCUUGGCAUGAGCACCCAAGCGAUGCUGUGGAAGACGCUCGAGUCGGAGCCCUCAACGGCAUUCCUCCACGCGCACCCCGCCGUCAACCACGUCCUCUGGUGGGCAUCUGUCGUCCUCACCGCCAUCGUCUCCAUCACCUACCUCCUCAAGGUUAUCUUCUACUUUGAGGCCGUUCGCCGGGAGUUCCACCACCCAGUGCGCGUCAACUUCUUCUUUGCGCCUUGGAUCGCUUGCCUCUUUCUCGUCAAGGGCGUGCCGCAGCCGGUGUGGGAGAUCCACCACAUCGUGUGGUACCUCCUCAUGGCUCCCAUCCUCUGCCUCGACAUUAAGAUCUAUGGCCAAUGGAUGUCGAGCGGCGAGCGCCGACUCUCCAAGGUAGCUAACCCGUCCAACCACCUCGCUAUUGUCGGCAACUUUGUCGGCGCGCUUCUCGGCUCUAGGAUGGGCCUCCGAGAGCUGCCCAUUUUCUUCUUCGCUAUCGGGCUAGCGCACUAUGUUGUACUCUUCGUCACCCUUUACCAAAGGCUCCCCACCAACAUGCAACUACCCAAAGAGCUCCACCCGGUAUUUUUCUUCUUCAUCGCCGCGCCUAGCGUCGCCUCGAUGGCCUGGGCAAGCAUCUCCGGCGAGUUCAACGAUGGCGCCAAGCUCCUUUAUUUCAUCUCGCUCUUCCUCUACAUGUCGCUGGUGGUGCGCAUCAACCUCUUUCGAGGGUUCAGGUUUUCAUUGUCGUGGUGGGCCUACACGUUCCCGAUCACGAGCGUAGCCGUGGCAACAGUGUUGUAUGCGUCGGAGGUGGACAAUGUGCUAAUGCGGGCACUAGCGGUCGGGUUGUCAGGGAUUGCCGCUGUCAUGAUCACCGGUGUGUUGGCCACUACCGUGUACCAUGCUUUCGUGCGCAAAGACCUCUUCCCUAACGACGUCUCCAUCGCCAUUACACAGCGCAGGCCCAAAAUCAGCAAGAUCCUCGCGCAUCUCCGCUCUUCUAGCUCGGACGUCAAGGAGCUCGACCUCUCCAUCACUAGUUCAAAUUCCAAUUCCAAGAACGACACGUACUCCGGUGACUCAUGUUCCAACUCCAGAACAAGCAGCAACAGCAACGAGUCUCCGGUGUCACACGGGCAUGUAUGA